UACGAAGGGUGCAAGCGUUAAUCGGAAUUACUGGGCGUAAAGGGCGCGUAGGCGGCCCUCUAAGUCGAACGUGAAAUCCCCGGGCUCAACCCGGGAACUGCGUCCGAUACUGGAGGGCUCGAAUCCGGGAGAGGGAUGUGGGAUUCCAGGUGUAGCGGUGAAAUUCGUAGAUAUUCGGAAGAACACCAGUGGCGAAGGCGGCUCACUGGCCCGGUACUGACGCUGAGAUACGAAAGCGUGGGGAGCAAACAGG
rnacentral:rRNA from 1 species